GGUGGCCCCGCGCACGUCAGCUGUGGACGAGGGGGACACGUGCUCCAGCAUGGCCAUCCCCGCUACCUUCUGCAUUCAUCGCAGGGGACGAGGGCUCAGUGCCAGGCUGCAGGGCGCCCAGCUGUCCCGGCGUCUCCUGAGCUCUGCCCUCCCUCUGGAUCCCCACUCCCUCAGGGCGGAGGCGGACAGCAGGCUGAAGGGAGAACUUCAGUCAGUGGGAAACUUAAUGGAGCAACAGCUGGCCGCCAGCUGUCCUUGCCUUGUCACAGUUCUGAUUACACCUUGCAGGUGAAGAAGAUGAGGCUCAGAGAAGUUAAGUACCACCCAAGGCCCCAAAGCUAGUAAGUGGCAAGCCAGAAGCUUCAGUGUACACUGACCUGAGGUAGAAAAUGCUGACAUCUUUGUUCCUUUGGGUCCAGAACUCCAAAAGAGAUAAGCCCCCAGACCUUUGGUGGUGGCCGUGCAAACGCGCCUCUCAGAUUUCAGACUGGUCCCUGCUGCUGUGCCUGGAUCAUGGCCAUCGCUGUUUGCACUGAGGCCCUCAGGCUGCUUCCAGCCAUUGACUCCGGCAGGUCCCCUCUUGGAGAUGCAAGACCCCCCCCGACAGACAAAUUGGCACAAGGAUUCCCCAAGGGCUUGCUACUUUCUUAUAUCUGAACCACAACCUGAGACUCUUCACCCCACCUUCUGUCCUGCCCUCUCUCCUCCGCAGGGUCCAAACUAUGUCACAAUCUGACGUCCCUCCCAACUUCCCCCUGGCUCCCCGCCCAUCUUCCCUCACAGGUGUCCCCCAUAAAUCUCUUGCACAUAGAGUCCUGUCUUGGUGUCUGCUUCUUCAAGGACCAGAACGAAUGUAAGUAGUCUGAGGAAACAGUGGUAAGAUGGGGAUUUGGGGCUGUCCCACUCAGAGGCAAUGGGGAGGAAGAUGUCCUGAUUGAUAGGAGGCCCCCAGAGAGUCCUUAGAACAAGGCAGCAGCUCAAAUGCUAAACAUUUCACCAGCGAGGACCUGGGAAAAUUUCCUGAAGGAGAGGAAUGCUGGCAGGUGUGAUAAUUCAAGCAUUUGAAAAAUAGAGGGGCAACGAUGCCUUCAAAAAAUUGAAUGGUUACUGCAGAGGGAAGAAGGACUGCGGGCCACUAAUGAGCAGUGGAGGGGUAGGCAUGGAGGCCGAGAGCCCUGCGGUGGCUUACAAAGAGGCCCUUAUCUCUGGCAGUGGAGGGCAGAUACGGCUGAGUGGCGGGCUGAAGACAAACCGUUAGCGUUGCAGAGCGCCAGAUAAGUCUGAAGGCUCAGCCAAGGCGGUUAUGAGAAGAUCGGGCCCUGGUGGGGAAAAUCUGGACCCCUGACCCAUGAGAUAAAGACAUCUGGAUGGAUGCCCUGAAGCCGCCGCGCAGCCUCCCUGACCCUCUGAGCUCGCAGAGGUGGCCCGCCCUUCUGCAGAAGAGCCAACCCUCUGCAGUGCUGAAAGAUUCCCAAGAGGCCUCGCCCCGGCAGGGGCCCUCUCAGUGGCUGCCCCACUGCCUCUCCUGGGUGCCAGGGACAAGCAUUAGGGUUGAAUUCCAGACUAAUCUGGCUGCAGACAUGCCGGGCCUGAUAAGGGAGGAAAGAGACUAUACCAUGAAAGAAUGGUAACUCUCAUGGAUCCUGGAACAAACCAGGGAUGCUCCUGGGACUGGAUUUUGCGAAUGCCUGAUUAAGGAGGCUGGAAUGUAAGACUGGCUAACAAGAAUCCAUCGGCUGGAGGGCACUUUCUUGAGACACAAGAUUUAAUAUCCUAGCGAGGAUACCAGGGGAUGGGGCAGACUCUGCUAGGGUGGCUCUUAGAAGUCUGGAAAAAGUAGUGGCUAACACUCAGUGCAGUGGAAAUACCUGAGUUCUCCUGGCAGAUGGUAGAGAAGAAGUUAAAAAAGCUGAGGAAAGUGGACACGCUGGAACGGAUUUGUUAUCUAAGGCCGGUAAUGACAGGCAAGGACAGAGGGGCAGGCAAGGGGGCUUGACCCACAGAAAGCUGUGGAGAUGGUGAAUGGAGCAGGGUAUCCCCAGGAGCAAACCAGAGGGGCAGCCAAGAAGCCUCUGCUUAAUAUCUACAGCCAGAAAAGCAGACAGGAGUGGAGGAGCAGAAGGCAGGGGCAAUAGGAAGUCACCGUCCCUUGCUCAGUUCCCAGACCUGAACCAAUUUUCAGAUAUGAAACCCGCUGACCGAAGAGGUGGCCAGAUCUCUAGGAAUAGGACCCUGCCAAACCUCAAGUAUGUAUCAUGAUGAUUCCUUCAGGAUUCUUCCAAAGGCCUGUGGCCAUUUGUUUGGGUGAUUGUUCACUAGAGAAAGGGGAAUAACAAGACAUUUGAGGACUAGUAGAUACAGAGUUUGAGUUGACGUUAACACCUGGAGACUCAAAGCAUCAUCGUGGGCCUCUUUUCAGAGCCAGGCCAUGGUGGUCAGGCAGUAAGUGGAGUCCUGGCUAAAGUCCGGAUUGCAGUGGGCCUGCUGGGUCCACGAACCCACCCAGAAGCCCCUUGUCCCUGAGAGUGUCAUUCACAUGCUUUGACAGUUGGAGUAACCCCUACCUCAGUCCUGGUCUACUGGGUGGGAGCUAUUAGAGCCAAGAAGGCCAAGUAGAAACUUCUGAAACUGCCGUGCCCCUUCUCCUCGCCCUGCCCGAGAUAGUAAACCAAAAAUAACAUCUCAUCCUAGGGGCUGUGGUAGAAACUAAUUCCACGACUAACAACUAAGGAUGAAGGAGUGUGGUCCCUACCAUUGAUUUCUUCAUUUAACUCACCAGUCUGACCUCUGCAGAAAUUGGACGGAUCCUGGAGGAAGACCGUAGACCGCCACGGCUUAACCAAGGGGGAGCCCUGCUGGCAGCUGCUGUGCCUGAUGUGGAGUCCUUGCCGGAGCAGGUUCACGAGGCCUUAGUCUCCCUUAGGAACAGCCCAAGGGAAACAGGCAAGAGCCACCCUCUGUAUCUGGUGGAGAAGCAGCACCGUGUGGCACAAGGGUGGACUGUGACAACCAUGAAGACUUCUCUCGGUUCUCUGGCUGCAGGGAUUGGAAGUGGCCGCCCGCGCCAGCUGCUGUAUCCUGAAAUCUAUUACUGAGUUUGCACUAAGAAUGCACUUCCCACGAGCUGCUGCCUGCCAGUGACUGAGCAUGGCGGGGAUCCUGGCAGGCUGUCCUCAGGAGAUUGCCGAUGGCUUGAGGACUUCUCACCUGCCUUGCCGAGCCUCGUUAGACCCGCACUGCAGUCUAAGUCUCCUCCGCCCAACUCUCCUUCCUUCUCUCUUUCACAAGGUCACACCCGCACCAUGGUCUCCUGGCUCUCCCAGGCUCCCCUGCUUCCCUUCCAUUACAAUUUGAGAAGAACUCAUUUAGAUGAUUUUGUCUUUAAAUCCUUUAAAUCUGUUUGGAACCUGAGUCUUUGCAAAGGUAAACAGUUGGAAUCACACAACCAUCUGGGUCCUUCAUUUUGUAGGUCAAAGCCCAGCAAAGUUAAGGCACUAGUUCAAAGUCACAUGGCGAACUAGAAUAGAGCCAGCACCCAGGGGUCUUACCCGCCAGCUCUUCCCACUGUAGGCUCUUCUGUGAGCAGGCUGCUUGCUCUAAAUGUGCAUUGUCUAGUGUGGUAGCACCGGAAAUGUGGGUAGUUGUGGUGUAAUAAAAAAACACUUGGUCUUUGUCCUGGGUUCCUGGCCUGGAGUCCCUCAAACCCUUAGAAUUUCCUGGGUGAUGGCGUGUCUCUCGUUAUUCACAAGGAGCGCCUCUGACCACACCUGUGUUUAUGCGAACGAAGUGACUCACGGUGGGGCCCUAGAUAGCUUCAGGAUGGGCGCUGGUCAUUGGAAAGACCAAACAUGUGCAUAGAGGGUGGGAACUUGCAGCUUCAGGGGGGGUGGUGGGGGCUGCAGAAUGAGUUAUAAAAACUCUUGAACAAGAUUCAAAGAGCUCCCGGUUGGUGACCACAUUGAGACGCUGGGAGGGUGGAGGCCCCGAGAGGGCAUGGAAGGUCUGCACUACCCCUUCUCCCACAGCCUGCCCUAUGCCUCUUUUCCACGUGGCUGUUGUGGAGUUGUACCUUCAUAAUAAACUGAUAAACAUAAGUAAAGUGUUCUCUUGAGUUCUGUGAGCUCUUCUAAUCAUUGAACCUGAGGAGGGGGUUAUGGGAACCUCCCAAUUUAUAGCUGGUCAGUCGUAAGUAUAGGUGACCCCUGGGACUUGCACCUGGUAUCUAAAGUGGGGGCAGUCUUGUGGGAUGGAGUCCUAAACUGUGGAGCCAGCACU
ensembl:lncRNA